rnacentral:rRNA from 1 species
UAGAAGAGAUGGCGACCGGCGCACGGGUGAGUAACACGUAUCCAACCUGCCGAUAACUCCGGAAUAGCCUUUCGAAAGAAAGAUUAAUACCGGAUGGCAUACGAAUAUCGCAUGAUAUUUUUAUUAAAGAAUUUCGGUUAUCGGUGGGGAUGCGUUCCAUUAGUUUGUUGGCGGGGUAACGGCCCACCAAGACUACGAUGGAUAGGGGUUCUGAGAGGAAGGUCCCCCACAUUGGAACUGAGACACGGUCCAA